UGCCGGCUAGCUCAGUUGGUUAGAGCAUCGUGCUAAUAACGCGAGCUUCAGACCCCUAGCAGGGCCCCAAGCCGAGGCAUCAGCUCAGGUCUUGGGUUCGACCCCCACGAUGGCUA